GGGUAACCAUGGGAACGGUUUUAGAGCCUACUGUGCUGAGAAGUUCAGAGACCUGGAAACUGCUGGGCUGAUGACAGAUCGGGGAGGAGAUAAUGGUUAAAAAUUGAGUGCCUACUGGAUAACUGGUGCUGAGGACAGGAUGGUCAAGAAAAGAAAUCUGGUCCAUGUCCUAGGGGUAUUUGGGAUCUACAGAAGAAGAAAGGAAAUAAGAAAGAACAGGAUCCAUGAAGAAGAAUGUAUAUGAAGACUGGAGUCCGGGAGAAAGCACAAGAUUUUUGAGAAACCAAAAAUCACCAGGAUGGCUGAAAGUGGAAUUAGAACAUGAGAAACAGUAGAAUGUUCUAAAACAACAUGAAAUGUACUGCUAAGUGCAACAGGAAUCUACUUAUAAAUUAUAAAGCAGAAGAGUGAAAUAACCAGAUUUGCAUUCUGUAAUAGAAGUAAAAAGCUUGUGAUGUUACCUGCUGGCUUCAGAAUUCCUAUUGGGGGAGCACUUUCUUGGGCAAAUAUUUGGUAAUGAGCCACUUGAGAUAGAAGGGAAUGUGCUCAUGGUGUGAGUAGAAGAUCCUAGGCAAACAAACAAAAACAAAACACAAACAGCCAAACUAAUAUUCAAGUUACACAAAAUGGCUUCGUUCCAGAAAGUAUGGGGAAAGAUAUGAAGGAAAGGAAUAGAAAACAUGAAGAAGAGCCUACAAGAUGGUGCGAUGCUGGGAAUUAGGACAGGCAGUCAGCCAAUGGAAAUAUGCAGACGGUGAGGGAGCCCAAGGUCAUUUGAAACUGGAAAUGCCUAAUGUUCCAUCUGAAAUGAGCAUUUUUCAUAGUAAACACUUCUCACUCUCCUGGAAUCCCUAUCCUUACUAAAGUCUGCUACCCUCACAAAUGUGUAGCAUGACUGGAUCAUCUGUGGAACAUGCUGGAGGGACUGAGUUUCACAUUGAUAAGUUGGGGCACAGCAGCAGCAUUUGUGGAAAUUGAUGCCUGAGGGAAGAGGAAUUGGUGAGAAUGAAAGAUUCAGCCAAAUUAGCAAAACUGCCAAAGGGGUUUUGACUUCCACCAAAGUGGAGUAGAGUUUAAGGUCAAUUUUUUAUUUAGAUUUUAAGGGGCAGGCAGAUCUUGCCGGUUAUAACAUGAGCUAGUUGGGAGCAUGGGCAGAAGUGGGUAUGAUGGAAGUAGCUUAGGAGGGAAAUGACGGUGCUGGAAUCAGGGUGAUGUCAGCAGAAAUGUGGAGGGUGUAGCGCUCUGAAUUUUGUGACUUGAGAAUGGAUUGGUUGUGGGCUGGUUGUGGUUGAUUUUACAUACACGCACACACACACACUCACACACACUUCACCAUCAAAAACAGGAAACGCUGCAGGCAAGCAAACUUGGCAGGGAAGGAAGAGAGUGACAAGUACCAUGAGUCUGUUCAGUUUGAUACAUAAGGAGUACGACUUGCCUCUGGGCAUCCACAUGCAGAUGCCAAAUAGGAUGUUCAAUAUAUGCAUCCUGAAUUCAAAAGAGAGACUUGGGCCUAGUAUUUGGAAGUGUUAGACUUAAAGGUGGCUGAAGCUAUGGGAAUCAAGAAGAUUGAAGCCUGGCAUGCAGGUAGAGCUUCCUUUUUAUUAAGAGCCUACUUUUAUUAAGCGCUUUUUAGGCUUUAUGGCAAAAGAAUGCCUACCUUACAAAGUUGUUGUGAGAUUAAAAUGAAAAGAAAAUGUGCUUGCCGUAUUUUUUGCUAUGCACUUACUGUGCUUAAUUUUGAUGGUUUGAAAAAGUGGAAAUUAGACUUAAUGGCUCUUACUGGGAAAGCUCUUGUUAGAAGCAUCUGGAAACCCUCCUGAAUAACAUAAAAGAAAUCCAACAGACAAUAAAACAAAUCUAAAUUUUCACCUGCAAAAGAAUCCAAAAUUAAACUAUCAUGCAAUUUUAUGAUGUGCAUUUUGUAAAGAACAAUGAUAGCUCAAAUUUGCUGUUAUUUAACUAGUGACAAGCAUAAUUGAAUCAGAAA